rnacentral:lncRNA from 1 species
CGACUUAGUUUUCGUAAAGGUGAGCGUUGAAAAGCAAAAAAAAGGCAAGUCCUGGCUCUAGUUCUGUGAUUUCAGACAAGUCGCUGAAGCAUAUCCAGCCUCCGAUUACUCAUCUGCAAAAUGGGAAGGAUAACAGCACCCGCCUUGUGAGGUCAAUAACAAGCCAGCGCCAGGGAAGGAGUUAGCAUCACGCAUGGCAAACCGGCGGCGCUCCGUAAAGGGAAUUUGGCUUCAUUCUCAUCCCGAUCUCAGCAUCUCCUUUGACCUUGGAGCCUCCUGAAAGAGGGGAGCCCUUAGGCUCUGCACCUGGGAUCCCAUUCACAGUCAAGGUCAGAGAAUCCCUAAACAUUCC